CUGCUGAGGGGAUAUAUAAUGCACAUGCGUAUCUAUUGCACCGGCAGUAAGAAUCAUUCCUUCUCCGGAUAUAACCUCUGUUAUUGUUCCGAUGAUAAGGCCCGGAGUGACGUCAGGCUGGAUAUGCGGAUUACCCGCUUUUCCGAUUCCUCUGAUCAUUCCGUCUUUUAUACCGAUAUCGGCUUUGACGAUUCCUGUAUAGUCUAUUAUCAGGGCAUUUGUGAUUACAAGGUCAAGAACUUCGCUGUCGGCAUAUCCCGAAGCCUGUCCCAUACCGUCGCG
rnacentral:sRNA from 1 species